rnacentral:lncRNA from 1 species
UACCUAUUCCAUCUUGACUUACAGGUCUUUUAUUGCAAUUUAAUAGUUGUUCUUAAUCUUUUCCAGGUGCACAUAAUGAUCCUGCUCCUGACACAGAUCUUUUGCCACACAGGAAGCCUGUGAGGAAGCUGAGAAGUGCUUCUUGGAUUAUCAGUCCUUUCCAGAAGUUACACUCUUCUCCUUGGAAAUGUUAUCAUGGGUGGUCUUGAUGGAAAAGCACUGCAGAUUCUAAUGGUGAAUGUUAAAGUGGCUUCAUAAAUCCGUGCACAAACUGAAGUGGCAGGAGCUGCAUCCAGCCUCUCCAGUUUACCUGGCCAUGCUAUUGCAGUUUAUUUAGGUCUGGACAAGCUCACUGUUGUUCCUGCUUGCACAAUCCAGCUGCAUUUCCAUUCUGGUCAGGUCAGUGUCCAUCAUUUCCAGGCAGUUAUCUUCAGCACUCCCCUCCACUUCAGUCUCCAGACUUGCCUGCAGAGACUCAGUUGCAUGCUGGUCAGGAGAGCCAGGCAGGAACUCUGGUGCCUUCUUAUUGUCCUGGAGAGAUCAUGCUGGGAUUCAGGUUUUGGUAUCUAACAUGGAAAGACAGGUAUAAUGAUAGAAGAACUCAGCAGCAGUGCAGAAUCCUCAUCUUUCGCUAAGAUCUCUGGUGUAUCUUCCCAGCCCCACAGGCACUGAAAUAUUGAUGUAAGGAAGCCUGUGGAUAUUCCUACCUGUGAAAGUUCUUGCAAGAAGCAGAUGCAAUGGAAGCAGUCAUUUCUAGCCACUCCCUCUGUGAUUUCCCAUCAGGGACAGGAUCCCUGCACAGGAUGCAGACCUUUGACAUCUGCAAGUGGAAGAUGUGCAUUCAGUAAUGGUGUUGGAAUUCAAACAACACGAGGAACUGCCUAUUCAUAGCACAUUUGUUUGCUGUUCAUUGCUUUCCAUUACUUGCCCUUCCACUUUAUUAUAUAUGUCAUAG